rnacentral:rRNA from 1 species
AAAACCCGGUACUCAGUUCAGAUUGCAGGCUGCAACUCGCCUGCAUGAAGUCGGAAUCGCUAGUAAUCGCGGAUCAGCACGCCGCGGUGAAUACGUUCCCGGGCCUUGUACACACCGCCCGUCACACCACGGAAGUUGGGAGUACCCAAAGUAGGUUGCCUAACCGCAAGGAGGGCGCUUCCUAAGGUAAGACUGAUGACUGGGGUGAAGUCGUAACAAGGUAAC